rnacentral:rRNA from 1 species
AAUGAGUAAAGUGGCGUACGGGUGAGUAACACGUGGAUAAUCUACCUCUGGGUGGGGAAUAACUCUGGGAAACCGGAGCUAAUACCGCAUAAACCUGAGAAGGCAAAGCUUCCGUAAGGGGGCGCCGGGAGAGGAGUCCGCGGCCGAUUAGCUAGUUGGUAGGGUAAUGGCCUACCAAGGCGAUGAUCGGUAGCCGGCCUGAGAGGGCACACGGCCACACUGGCACUGAAACACGGGCCAG